rnacentral:rRNA from 2 species
UGCAAGUCGAACGAGAAGCUAACUUCUGAUUCCUUCGGGAUGAUGAGGUUAGCAGAAAGUGGCGAACGGGUGAGUAACGCGUGGGUAAUCUACCCUGUUAAGUGGGGGAUAACCCUCCGAAAGGAGGGCUAAUACCGCAUAAUAUCUUUAUCCCAAAAGAGGUAAAGAUUAAAGAUGGCCUCUAUACUAUGCUAUCACUUCAGGAUGAGCCUGCGUCCUAUUAGUUAGUUGGUGGGGUAAUGGCCUACCAAGACCACAAUGGGUAGCCGGUCUGAGAGGAUGUACGGCCACACUGGGACUGAGAUACGGCCCAGACUCCUACGGGAGGCAGCAGUGGGGAAUAUUGCGCAAUGGGGGAAACCCUGACGCAGCGACGCCGCGUGGAUGAUGAAGGCCCUUGGGUUGUAAAAUCCUGUUCUGGGGGAAGAAAGCUUAAAGGUCCAAUAAACCCUUAAGCCUGACGGUACCCCAAGAGAAAGCUCCGGCUAAUUAUGUGCCAGCAGCCGCGGUAAUACAUAAGGAGCAAGCGUUAUCCGGAAUUAUUGGGCGUAAAGAGCUCGUAGGCGGUCUUAAAAGUCAGUUGUGAAAUUAUCAGGCUCAACCUGAUUAAGG